GUGGGGAAUUUUGGACAAUGGGCGCAAGCCUGAUCCAGCCAUUCCGCGUGCAGGAUGAAGGCCUUCGGGUUGUAAACUGCUUUUGUACGGAACGAAAAGGUUCUCUCUAAUACAGGGGGCUGAUGACGGUACCGUAAGAAUAAGCACCGGCUAACUACGUGCCAGCAGCCGCGGUAAUACGUAGGGUGCAAGCGUUAAUCGGAAUUACUGGGCGUAAAGCGUGCGCAGGCGGUGAUGUAAGACAGAUGUGAAAUCCCCGGGCUCAACCUGGGAACUGCAUUGGUGACUGCAUUGCUGGAGUGCGGCAGAGGGGGAUGGAAUUCCGCGUGUAGCAGUGAAAUGCGUAGAUAUGCGGAGGAACACCGAUGGCGAAGGCAAUCCCCUGGGCCUGCACUGACGCUCAUGCACGAAAGCGUGGGGAGCAAACAGGAUUAGAUACCCCUGUAGUCC
rnacentral:rRNA from 1 species